UACGGGGGGGGCAAGCGUUGUUCGGAAUUACUGGGCGUAAAGGGCUCGUAGGCGGCCAACUAAGUCAGACGUGAAAUCCCUCGGCUUAACCGGGGAACUGCGUCUGAUACUGGAUGGCUUGAGUGUGGGAGAGGGAUGCGGAAUUCCAGGUGUAGCGGUGAAAUGCGUAGAUAUCUGGAGGAACACCGGUGGCGAAGGCGGCAUCCUGGACCAUUACUGACGCUGAGCGAGCGAAAGCCAGGGGAGCAAACGGG
rnacentral:rRNA from 1 species